CGAGCGAACGGACGAGAAGCUUGCUUCUCUGAUGUUAGCGGCGGACGGGUGAGUAACACGUGGAUAACCUACCUAUAAGACUGGGAUAACUUCGGGAAACCGUAGCUAAUACCGGAUAAUAUUUUGAACCGCAUGGUUCAAAAGUGAAAGACGGUCUUGCUGUCACUUAUAGAUGGAUCCGCGCUGCAUUAGCUAGUUGGUAAGGUAACGGCUUACCAAGGCAACGAUGCAUAGCCGACCUGAGAGGGUGAUCGGCCACAACUGGAACUGAGACACGGUCCAGACUCCUACGGGAGGCAGCAGUAGGGAAUCUUCCGCAAUGGGCGAAAGCCUGACGGAGCAACGCCGCGUGAGUGAUGAAGGUCUUCGGAUCGUAAAACUCUGUUAUUAGGGAAGAACAUAUGUGUAAGUAACUGUGCACAUCUUGACGGUACCUAAUCAGAAAGCCACGGCUAACUACGUGCCAGCAGCCGCGGUAAUACGUAGGUGGCAAGCGUUAUCCGGAAUUAUUGGGCGUAAAGCGCGCGUAGGCGGUUUUUUAAGUCUGAUGUGAAAGCCCACGGCUCAACCGUGGAGGGUCAUUGGAAACUGGAAAACUUGAGUGCAGAAGAGGAAAGUGGAAUUCCAUGUGUAGCGGUGAAAUGCGCAGAGAUAUGGAGGAACACCAGUGGCGAAGGCGACUUUCUGGUCUGUAACUGACGCUGAUGUGCGAUAUAGCGUGGGGAUCAAAACAGGAUUAGAUACCCUGGUAGUCCACGCCGUAAACGAUGAGUGCUAAGUGUUAGGGGUUUCCGCCCCUUAGUGCUGCAGCUACGCAUUAAGCACUCCG
rnacentral:rRNA from 1 species